UACGUAGGGAGCAAGCGUUGUUCGGAUUUACUGGGCGUAAAGGGCGCGUAGGCGGCAAAUUAAGUUAGCUGUGAAAUCUCCGAGCUUAACUCGGAACGGUCAGCUGAUACUGAUCUGCUAGAGUGCGGAAGGGGCAAUCGGAAUUCUUGGUGUAGCGGUGAAGUGCGUAGAUAUCAAGAGGAACACCUGAGGUGAAGACGGGUUGCUGGGCCGACACUGACGCUGAGUGCGCGAAAGCCAGGGGAGCAAACGGG
rnacentral:rRNA from 1 species